CCCGUCAGGUCCCGCCCCUCCGCUCUAGGCCCCACCCGGCCUCAUCCCUCCGGCCUUGGUCCCGUCCCGUCGAUCUCGCCCCUCCGUUCCGGGCCCCGCCCUGCCCGGCCCUGCCCGGCCCCGUUCUUCCGCUCUCGGCCCCGCCCUGCCAAGCCGAGCCCGCCCCUUAGCUCCCGGUCCCGCACCUCCGGUGGCGGCCCCGCAAAGCGCGCCUUGAAGGGCGAGGAUACCUUAGGGGUACCCCAGAGUUACCCCAGAGUUCCCUUAGGGUUACCCCAGGCUUCUCCCAGAGGGUAUUUCAGGGGCUCCCCUUUGCCCCGCGCUGUUGCGGCAGCGAGCGGGCUGAUCUCCGCAAGCCUGGGCCCUGCAGACAGCGCGGCGUGGUGAUACCUCAGCCUCUACAGCCACCACCUGCGCCUUUACGCUCGGCUGGUGCGCCGAGAGGUGUCCCUGCGGGGCCCGGGCACCUGAGUCAGGAGCUCUGUGCGGUUUAGCGGGCACUCUACUGAGGGCUAGGCGGCUUUAAAGGUUGCCGGGAGUAUCCCGGCCGAUGCCUCUGGGCUCCGCCGUUCUUGCCGUCACUGGAGCGCCGCUCCGCCGAGUUCCCUCAGCGUUCCCGCCCCGCUGCCUGAGGGCCGGCGCCCAGCUCCGGGCGGCCGGCUCCAUCCUGAUAGGCUGCGCUGCUGAAAAAAACAUGAUGUCAGCCAGAGUUUAAGUGCUAUAUAUAGUGUGUGGACAAGACUACAAACUCCGUGGAUUUGUCUUUGACCAAGAGAACACCUGGGACGGUUGCUCCAGGCCUCUCACGACCGAAGUCAUUAACUGCACCCCAGUGUAAAGGUCAGCCUUGCAGCUUUGGAAGCCCCCUUAUUCUUAACUCAGCUUGCUGGCCUGCAUUCAUAUACUGGACAGACUUGCACCUAGCAGAACCCUGGCUCUCCUGGUGUGCUGGCUGUUUCCUCUGAAUUGGAUGUGUUCGAGAAAAGAAGAUGAUUCAACAUAGGAAUGGGAAAUACAAGAAGCUUCAACAGUUAUGGAAGUCAUAGGAACAAAACCAACAGAGCAGGACUGCUUGUGCUUGAACCCAGAGCAGCUGCAAAACCCACAGAUGUGCUGGGUCUGAACAAAGAAUGCAUUUAGAAACCAUGGAGGAGUCAUGUUAGGAGCUGCUGAGAAAAGGUGAAGAAAUGGAAAUGGGUUGUCUGUGAAAGGAUUUUCGAGAUGAGAUGAAAAAGGGUAGGAAAAUUAAUUCCUUAUCGAAAUGAAAGGGCAGAAGAGAAAAGAUGGGGGGCAAUGGUGGAAUUUAUUUUGGCUGGCAAGGAAACUGACAAGUGUGUGAGAUAACAUUGUACAAGAUUUCAAUUAAUCUUAGCUUCACAUUACGAAUUUUGUAAUCGGGUCUAAAGUGCCUUACACUGAAACACUUGCAGGUCAAUGCCUUUGCCAGCAAGCUCUUUGCUCCCUGUAAAGCAGAACAAUAAAAACUUAUCAAAUCUUGCUGAUAUAAUAAAAUCAAUAAUUUAAAAAAGCAUCACAGCAAUGGUCAGAAAAUAAAGAAAAUUCAAAUUUAAUAAUGCAGUACUUUUAUCAGAUAAAAUUUGAUUGUGUGCAACAGAUAAAGCACUGGCCCACAUCACCUGAAUGUCGUGAAAUGAUUUUAGUGAAGUCCUUUAUCAAUUUAGGUGUGUUGUGCACUGCACAAUUGGAGACUCUCAGAAAAGUGACAGGUUGUGUGUCAUUUUCUCAUAACACCUAUACAGACCUGUCUCAAAUUGAUAUCAGGGAACCAAUCUUAAAUAUUUUGUUUCAGAUAGGUAAGGAAGUACUUUUUUUUUUUAAAAAAAAUAUAUUUAAGUCAAAGUGAAUACAUAUUUUGGUAGAAAGCUAUGGGGCAGGAACUUCACCUAUUGUGUCAGAAUAGAGAUACGAAACCAAAGCAGGUUCCUGUGCAGUCGACUGGCAAACCUUACGUGACUGAUUGGCUACUGCCACCAGGCGGCUUUUUACAGUCAUUGACUGAAAACUGUAA